CUUAAAGGUUGAUAUAGAAUGAAAAAGUUGACCGGGUGUGACUGGUUGAAGUCAUCGCCUCCUGAGGAAAACCUCCGGUUUUGCUUUACCUCACCUCACCGACAUGGAAUAAACCACCUUCUCCUUCUCUUUCUCAGAUCUGAAAUCGAUGGGAACCGGGUGAAACCCUUUGUCGGCUUCCAAAAUCGAACCCUCGAUUUCCCGUUUUUCUUAUACAUUUUACGUAUACUUUGAAAUCAAACAGUAUCCUAUUCCCCUGCUUCUAUUCGUUCAUAGACCCCAUUCAGAAUUUUGGAUGAGAACGAAGAAAAGUCAACAUAUUGGCUUUGAAGAGGCACUUCCAAAUGGAACCAAAAUGAGGCAUGAUUUCGUUCUUCCAAUUAAUUACUACACCCUUCAGUUUAGUUCAACCUAUUCAGUUGAUUCAAGAAUUCAUUUACCUCACUUACUAACAUAUUCGUAAGAUUUCUACUUUGAUUCUUGAGUUUUUUGUUAAAUUAAAAUUUGUCAUUUAUCCUAAGUAAGCUUUAUUUUUUAAAUUUUGAAUUUUUCCAAAACUAAACCAGGAAGAAACGAAAGUAUGAUAACCAUGAUUAGGGUUAAAUGUAAGGAACCUAGUAUGUGAAUUGAAUCGUUUUUUUGGUUGCAUACGACCUGAAGAUACCUUCACUAUGCUUCUUAUAUGAGGGAUAUGAGUUAUUACAUCAAAGGCAUCCAUACAUCCAGUAACUUUUUAUUAUUGAGAAUUUGGAACUUAGUGUUAAACUUACAUGAAGUAACAUGAAAGAAGUUGCUAAGAAGGAAGCCAAGAAGAAGCUCAAGGUAUGGAAUGGAAUCAUUGAUUCCAUUAGAAUAAAAAAACAUUUUUUUGUUGGAUGGAAUUAUAGUAACCAUUCCUUCACCAAAAUUUGGCUCACUGUGAACCACACCAAUAGGAGCCUAACCAACUCACGCACCGAACUGUUGGAUUGUACCAGUUGAGAUUUUAGAAUUAUUAUCAGUUUAGAACCAGCUUAUUAGGAAUCGGUUUGCAAAAUCGUUUUGUAGACCAGGUUUAGUGAAUGUACUUUUCAUUAUCCUUUCUUCUGUUUUUAUGUGUUUUUAUGCAGGUCCUGAUGGUGAAGUCAUCUUCCAACAAAAGGUUUCUUGCUGUUAUUAGCAUUUGCUGUGAUUGACAUUGUUUUCGCUGAAAACGCCAUUGCAUUUCACUCAGUGUAAAAUUCACUAAGUUGACUUACCCAAGUCAUAAUGUAUAAUUAUAAGUAGAUUAAAUUACAAAAAUGAUCCCUGCAUUUACCUUAAUUUUUCUCAAAUGUGGCCCCGAAAGAUUCGCUUGCAAUGCACCGCUAACGUUAUUGAAUACUUUGGAUUGCAGUCGAAGAUUUCUAUCAUUUAUUUUAGAUGAGAUUUUCACAUAUCUACUCCUUAAGAAAUGAAUUCGGGUCUUACGUUAUCAUUUCAGACGUCAUUCCGAUGGAUAAUAAAGUCAAUUAACCAAUAUAUCGUAAACGACAUCGAAAGCUUCUGACCCCCGCGUAGCGGGGGAUGCCUAUCUAGUAUAUAUUAAAGUUACGAAGAAAAGGAAUAGUGAACUGCCCAUUUAUUUGGUAGAAAUGGUCCUCUAAUUAUUUAGGGUUAGUUUAUGUCAAUAUCCAUAUUCUUUAACGCUUCCCGAUCCUUCCACCACCUAUCUCUCUGCUAUCGAUCUUUAGUUCUGAUUCUUCCACCGCCUUUCUUAUUGCAUAUCUUCCCCACCGCCUUCCGUCACAGCUACAUCUUCCUUUUAUGUCUGCUUCUCCAAAUGCUAACCGCCUCGAUUUCUCUCCCAUGUCUGUUCAUCGGCUGCAGUCGGGUGUUUCUCACUCUCUCUCUCUCAUAUCGGGAACUCUGACGAGGCACCAGUGGCUGCAGUCGACCACCCCUAACCCAUAAGUCGAUGGAUGUCCGUCUUUCCACAAUAGUGAAAGGUUAGUAAUGUCGACCAAAUUCAUAGGUUUCUUGAUGUUCUUUGGUGAGUUCUAGAGAACCUUCAACUUAAGGCAUCGGGAACUCCACAGUUUUAGAUGGCGUCUUGAUCGGUGUAAGGAUCUCUAUCCAUAGUUUUAGAUUCCGUAUCCGGUUCUGGUGCCAUGCUCUUCCCCAAAUACUACUGAUACCCAUUCUACCGAUUCAUCGACUGACUUUUUUUUUUUUGGUUAAUCGGCUUCUGCUUAGCCCUCCGCUGUCUUCACCGCUUUAAGGACAAAUAGCUAGAUGAUUCGGAUUUGAAUGAUGAAGCAAUCUGACCUUUAAGAGCUACAAAGGUUUUAGUAGUUCCCACUAACGCACUCUAUGGUUUUGCUUCUAAUUCGUGGGGGCAUCUACUAGAAAGGUGGUAGCAGUCCUAGCCGUUCUUUAUUGCAAAGGUACCAGAGACUAUAGUGGCGACGUCUAGCCGGACUUUAUCAGACUGAUUGUAUAUGCAAAAUUGAACCCUUGCUUUUAUGAGUGAUUAUGAUUUUACAUUCUUCCAUAUUCCUGAACUGGCCUUCUGUGAUAGUUUCACCAACUAUCAUACCAUCAGCUCCACUUCAAUCUACAUAUUCAGCAAGGCUUCAUAAGCCUCUAGCUCGAACCUCCCAUCAGGUAAGUAUCGCAUUUUAAUUGCAGUUAUCAACCUCAAUGACUAAAAGUGGUUCAUAAUUAGUGACAUUAUGAUGAAUGUUGAACAGAAGAAGAGAAAGUUGCUAAAGAAACAUCAUUCUGUUUUUAUAAGAAUGGGUGAAAGUUUUGCGGAUCCUUCGAUGGUUGUGAAGCUUCUAAGGCUUCAUUACCAUGAUUGCUUUGUUAGAGUCAGUCAUUUAUUACUACAUUUAACUUCUUUUUUAUGUGGUGAAGUUCUUGAUAUCAUUCCAUAAGAAUUGGCUGUGUAUUUUUCAAUUUCAUAUAACUUAAAGGUUCUAGAUUAUCAUUUCAGUUGGUAAAGAUUCAGUUUGAAAUGAAUUUUUUCCAAUGUGCUUAUGUUUUAAUGUAGAAACCGAUUGUUUUCAGAACAAAACCAAAAACAUUUCAAAUUCAACAAUCAUGAUGAAGCAAUAAAUGGAUGGUUUUAGUGAUGAUAGUUGAGUAGUAGACAUGAUGCAUGGGAUGCACAAUAAACACUUGAUAAAGCGUGCAAGUAUUGUCGGGUUUGUAUGCGGGUUAUAAUCUGGGUUAUGGGUGUAUCCAUGGAGUGUAUGAUAGCUUCAUUUUAUUUAAUUCUUUUUAUAGUUUAUUUUAGCACAUUUCAUUCACAUUUUAGUUAAUUUCCAUGCAUAUUUUCCUUUUUGUUAUUUUAUGACCAUUUUUGGGUACUUUCUAGUUUCUUGAGCAUUAUUGUAGAUUUUCUGGGAGACUAGUGGAGCGGGACUCUUUGGAGGCGAUUGGGCUUGAAGGGAAAUGGGGAUUUCGUACUUGAUGGCUGUGGAGGUGAUUCAGGGAGUAGGCUUGUCGACUGCUUGAAGGCGCGGAAGUGUUGAACUUUAAAUUUGAAAGGGCGCGGGAGAAUUCUUGAGUGUGCAAGAUCGAUGUCUAGGAGUUUGCGGAAGUUUUGAGUGAUGUGGAGAGACAAAUUGGGCUCUAAUUGAAGAAAUAUUGAAGAAAAAUGGGCUAGAAGCUGAUUGGAUUCGAACUGGGCCAAUGGAUUAGCUGUGGGGGCCCAAGACUUGAAGAAGCCCAAAAAUUCCGUCACAAUCACGCGGCCCGCGUAAGAUUCCCUAUGGCCCACGUGGAUUUCUGACAAGGGCAAUUUCGAGAUUUUACUUAAAGCUCUAUAUUGGGAAGGUUGGUGUGCCUCUUCAGCCUUAUCUUGGAGGUCCGAUUUUGAUACUUUCUCUUUGGAGUUUUGGAGUACUUUUGAAGGCCAAUAACACUUCAAGAAUAUCUUCUUUUCAUCUCUUGAAUCUUGUCAAAUGUUUGGUACAAUCUUAACUAACUUUGUUUCUUUGAGUUUAGUCAUGCUUGGCUAAAUUAAUUUUGGUUGAUUUUUUGUUGAAUCAUUUGAACUUUUGUUGGAUGUUGAAGAAUCCAUGAACUUGUUCUUAAAUCUUUAUGGAAAUGUUUUGUGUUUUAUCA